GUGCUCGCCUUGGCAGCACAUAUACUAAAAUUAGAACCAUAGAGAAGAUUCACAUGGCCCCUGUGCUAGAGUGAUAUGCAAAUUCGUGAAGUGUUCCAUACUUUG